UACAGAGGUCUCAAGCGUUGUUCGGAAUUACUGGGCGUAAAGGGUGCGCAGGCCGCGCGGGCAGUCAAAUGUGUAAUCCAGGGGCUCAACCCCUGAACUGCGCUUGAUACUUCCGCGCUCGAGCUUUGGAGAGGAGUCUGGAAUUCUCGGUGUAGCAGUGAAAUGCGUGGAUAUCGAGAAGAACACUUAGGGCGUAGGCAAGACUCUGGACAAAUGCUGACGCUGAUGCACGAAGGCUAGGGUAGCGAACGGG
rnacentral:rRNA from 1 species